AGGACGAACGCUGGCGGUGUGCCUCACACAUGCAAGUCGAGCGGACGAAGAUUGAAGCUUGCUUCAGUCCUAGUUAGCGGCGGACGGGUGAGUAACACGUAGGAAUCUGCCUUCAGGCGGGGGACAACGGAACGAAAGUUGCGCUAAUACCCCAUAUGCGAGUAAUCGUAAAAGGAGCAAUCCACCGGAAGAUGAGCCUGCGUCCGAUUAGCUAGUUGGUAGGGUAAAAGCCUACCAAGGCUACGAUCGGUAGUUGGUCUGAGAGGAUGAUCAGCCACAAUGGAACUGAGACACGGUCCAUACUCCUACGGGAGGCAGCAGUGGGGAAUUUUACGCAAUGGGCGAAAGCCUGACGUAGCGACACCGCGUGAGCGAAGAAGCCUUUGGGGUGUAAAGCUCUGUCAGCUGGAACGAACACAAUGACGGUACCAGCAGAGGAAGCAUCGGCUAACUACGUG
rnacentral:rRNA from 1 species